AUUCUAUGGUGAUGACAUUUCAUUAACAUCUCUUUGAAACGUCCCCAAGCAUCAAACAAUGACUCAUUAUCUCCUUUUAUAAAUGAAGUAAUCUCAUUUAUCAUCUU